rnacentral:rRNA from 1 species
UGGGGAAUUUUCCGCAAUGGGCGAAAGCCUGACGGAGCAAUACCGCGUGAGGGAGGAAGGCUCUUGGGUUGUAAACCUCUUUUCUCAGGGAAGAAGCCAGUGACGGUACCUGAGGAAUAAGCAUCGGCUAACUCCGUGCCAGCAGCCGCGGUAAUACGGAGGAUGCAAGCGUUAUCCGGAAUCAUUGGGCGUAAAGCGUCCGCAAGUGGCGCUUCAAGUCUGCUGUCAAAGACCGGAGCUCAACUCUGGAAAGACAGUGGAAACUGAAGAGCUAGAGUACGGUAGGGGUAGAGGGAAUUUCCAGUGUAGCGGUGAAAUGCGUAGAGAUUGGAAAGAACACCAGUGGCGAAGGCGCUCUACUGGACCGUAACUGACACUCAGGGACGAAAGCUAGGGUAGCGAAAGGGAUUAGAUACCCCCGUAGUCC